rnacentral:rRNA from 1 species
GACGGGUUAAGGGGCCCGAUGCAGGACGCUCAUGAGACCCCAUGAAAGGUGUUGGUUGCUAUAGACAGCAGGACGGUGGCCAUGGAAGUCGGAAUCCGCUAAGGAGUGUGUAACAACUCACCUGCCGAAGCAACUAGCCCUGAAAAUGGAUGGCGCUUCAGCGUCGACCCCAUACCCGUCCGCCGCGGCGGAGAUGCGAUCGCAUUAUGCCGCGGUGAGUAGGAGGGCGCGGGGGCGCGCGUGGAAGGUGUCGGGCGUAAGCCCGCCUGGAGCCGCCCCCGGUGCAGAUCUUGGUGGUAGUAGCAAAUACUCAAGUGAGAACCUUGAGGACUGAGGUGGAGAAGGGUUCCAUGUGAACAGCAGUUGAACAUGGGUCAGUCGGUCCUAAGGGAUGUCCGAAAGGAUUUCCGAAGGGGGACUUUAUGUAGGAGGGUCCCGCCCAUGACCGAAAGGGAAUCGGGUUAAUAUUCCCGAACCCGGACACGGAGAUCGGCCCCCUCGGGGGCACGUGCGGUAACGCAAACGACCUCGGAGACGUCGACGGGGGUCCCGGGAAGAGUUGUCUUUUCUUUGUAAGGGCUCGGUUCCCUGGAAUCGGCUCGCCCGGAGAUAGGGAUGCUGAGCCCGUAAAGCACCGCGCCUCUUGCGGUGUCCGGAGCGCUCCCGUCGGCCCUUGAAAAUCCGAGCGAGAGUUGGUGAUUUUCGUGCCGGACCGUACCCAUAUCCGCAGCAGGUCU